rnacentral:rRNA from 1 species
GACGAACGCUGGCGGCGUGCUUAACACAUGCAAGUCGAACGGAAAGGCCCUGCUUGCAGGGUACUCGAGUGGCGAACGGGUGAGUAACACGUGGGUGAUCUGCCCUGCACUUCGGGAUAAGCCUGGGAAACUGGGUCUAAUACCGGAUAGGAGCCAUUUUUAGUGUGAUGGUUGGAAAGUUUUUUCGGUGUAGGAUGAGCUCGCGGCCUAUCAGCUUGUUGGUGGGGUAAUGGCCUACCAAGGCGGCGACGGGUAGCCGGCCUGAGAGGGUGGACGGCCACAUUGGGACUGAGGUACGGCCCAGACUCCUACGGGAGGCAGCAGUGGGGAAUAUUGCACAAGGGGCGCAAGCCUGAUGCAGCGACGCCGCGUGGGGGAUGACGGCCUUCGGGUUGUAAACUCCUUUCGCUAGGGACGAAGCUUGUUGUGACGGUACCUAGAUAAGAAGCACCGGCUAACUACGUG